GCUUAACAAGAGAUGAAAAUCUGUUUAGAAUUAAUCUUAGAAUAUAUUUGCCUACUUAGCACAACAAGAAUUUGGGCAGUACUCCAGGUGUAAUGCAAUGGGAAUAAUUAUGCAAGAUAAAUGAAUCAUUGUGACCUUUUAUUGGCCUCAGAAAUAAAAAAUUCAGUGGUGCCAAUGGCCAAAAAGAGAUACAGUGAAGAAACAAAGAUUGUGUCAAAACAAGGAAUGACUUGUUAUAUGAAACACAUCAGAAAGAAAAAGAAAGAAACAAUAUGAAGACCAAUCCAACUAAAAAAGGCAAAGAAACAAAGAAUCAAAGAUAUUUUAAAGAAAGAAUUUAACUCCACUGAACCAAUCAACUCAGUCACAGACAUCUUUAAAUUUGAAGCACUGAGACCAUUUGAAUCGAGCUUGAAAUCUACCAGGUCACCAAAUGACAAACGGUGCACCACCUGAACAGAUCACUAGUCAUGACUGAACACUACAGCCCGCAGUCCCGAGAGGAAGAAGUGCUUGAGUCGCAUGAGUACCGGGCAGGGGCACAGACCCGACCUGGACCUGCGCAUCGUGAUCUUGUGGGCCCGUUCCACACUUAUCCAGCCCAACUCAACCUCCAGCCCCAUCAACUCCAGGAGCCACUUCUCCAGGAACUUGGCCAGAUUCUCGCCUUUCUCGCCCUCCGGAAGACCCACUACACAUAAGCUUUAUCUCCGACCUUGAUUUUUGAGGUCAUCAACCUGUUCCAGCAAGGCCCAAACCUGGCCUUCCAAGGUUCAGAUCUGCUCCUCGGAGUUCUCGUCGCAGUCUCUGACGUUGUGGUCCUUUGCUCGACUGUUUCCACAUGUUGAUCUAAUGAUUGGAUCUCCUGCUCAUGCUUUUUCAGUAGAAAUUGGUUCCAGCGCCACUUCGAUUUUUUCACGGAGGUUCUCGAACUCCGAGAGUAGAUGUUGCUGCUCCACUGAGCUCAGAGGCGCCAGCACGCGAGUUGAAGCAGUGGAUGCAGGUGAACCUGACACAGUAGGGGAGUGUCUUGUCUGCUGUACUCCUCUUGCUCCUUUUCCUUUGUUUGCCUUCAUCUUGACUCCAAAGCCUCCAAAUUCAAAUUGAAAAGUUUCUAGAUGUUUUGCUCGCUUCACACUGCUAAUUUUUCUUAUGGGUGGCUAAUGGGGGAGGGGGAGUGGAAGCCCAUCUUGCCCAAAGUAUGGCACAGAGGCCAACACAGCAGAUUUUUCAGACUGCCGCCAUCUUGAAUCUUCGAAUUAUCUCCAUAUUAAACUAAGUAGGAAUCUCACUCAGAGAAACCACUGUCAUGGCAAAGAAAAAGUAGAAGGUACUCUUCUGAAGUUAUGACUGAGACAUGUUGUUGGGAUACAGUUGAGAUAGCUAUACACUGCAUUCAACAUAUUGUAAUUCAGCUAGAACUGAUAAUUGCUAGGACUGAAUGAAAUAGAAAAAUGUCCAUAUCUAGCUCUAAUGCCAUAACCUCCUUUGCACAAUAAAAAAAUCAAAAUGAAUACACUAGCAAGGAGAAAGAGUCUUCAUCUACUGAGCCCUCAGAUAUUGGUAUCAAUUCAUUUUCAAAUAUGACAUGAUAUUUAUCACAUACAGAGGAAUCUCGAUUAUCCGAAAGACACAGGCACAGAGUAAUUCGUUCAGUUAAUCAAAUUCUGGACAAUCGAAUGUUGGAUAACAUAAUUUAGCCAAGCAUUGGGACCUUGCGAUCUUGCCGGAUAAUCUGAUAUUCUGAUAAUUGAAUGUCAGGUAAUUGAGGUUCCUUUGUACAUACUUCACCUUGUACUUAGCAAUAAGACAAAGGAAACGUAUGCAAACAGCA